rnacentral:lncRNA from 1 species
AUUUAUUACCAGUUUACUGGAUCACUCGUGAAUUCCGGAACGACACCGUGACGCUCAGAAACGCGGCGCAAACCCCAGAGUGGAUUUGCAGGUUUAUGUUGCAGUUUACGGCUGACCGGACUCGUAUAUGACGAAAUUCGCGCAGCGCAGCAAAAAGACGUGCGAAAUACGCGGGAACUCCAUUUAGGACCCUGUGUGUUUCCGUGUGUGUGUGUGCGGUUGCGGGUACUGGUGAGUGAGACAGUUUCAUAAACACCCGAAUCGCUGUGGAUGAGACACAAGCCGUUUUAGCAACAGCUGAUGACACGUUUGGGGGCGCCCCAAAAUGAAGCGCAGGAUAAACACGGCGGGGAUGAGAGAUCGAAAGGUCAAAGUGCGUUGCAUACGUGAGUGGUUCGAACGGAUUGCGAAAAGCCCACCGAACUCGAGGACCCUACUUCGCAGCUCUAACGAGCAGCACCACUUCAGAGCCCAUUUCGAGCUGAUAGUAAUCCCACUAACGAUGUACUUCAAAAAUAAUCAAGUUGCGAAACGGGUUUGUUAAAUUGUGAGCGUGCAUAAAAAUGAAAGAGAAAAUGUAGUUUUAACCAUAUGGAAAUACAAAUGUAUAUAUAACUU